UGCAGAUCAGGAAAAAUUUCCUCACUGUCAGAGCAAUAAAACAGUGGAACCAAUUGCCAGGAGAGGUGGUGGACUCUCCCACACUAGAGGCAUUCAACAAGAAACUAGAAAGCCAUCUAACUGGGAUAGUGUAAAUUGGUGCCCUGCAACAGCAGAGGCUUAGACCCGAUGGCCUUCCUGGC